ensembl:snoRNA SNORD63 Small nucleolar RNA SNORD63
GUACAGUGAUGCAUUUUAUUCAUCAACAUCAAUCUGAAAAAGCAUAGAUGUAUGGAGAAAUAAUGACUUAAGCACA